AAAAUAUUGGGGUAGCACCCUAGGAGGAACAUGUAGGAUUUAUCGUCCUCUUUUUCCUUUCCCUAUGUCUUUUCCUUCUCUUUUAUAUUUACACAUAUAUAAUUGACUCAAGUUUGAGAGAUUUAUUACUUGGCAACAGAUUUUCUUUCAUUUUGUAGGACUAUGUCUUAUCUUACAAAAACAGGAGGAUCGAGGUUCAUAUCCCAGGAAAAAGCAUCGGCUAACUCUAUGCCUGCAGCUAUGGUAAGACAGAGGAUGUAAGCGUUAUCCGGAAUGAUUGGGCAUAAAGCGUCUAUAGGUAGUUUUUUAAGUUCGCCGUUAAAUCCUAGGGCUCAACCCUGAACAGGCAGUGGAAACUACCAAGCUUUUCAGUGGAAACUACCAAGCUGGAGUAGGGUAGGGGCAGACGGAUUUCCGGUGGAGCGGUGAAAUGUGUAAAGAUUAGAAAGAACACGAACGACGAAAGCACUCUGCUAGGCCAACACUAAUACCGAUAGACAAAAGUUAGGGGAGCGAAUGUUAUUGGAUACCCGAGUAGUCCUAGCCGUAAAAGAUAGAUACUAGGCGUUGUGCAUAUCGACCCAUGCAUUGUUGUAGCUAACACAUUAAGUAUCCCAAGUCAUUUUUUCUUUAUCUUU
rfam:Lupinus angustifolius cultivar Tanjil chromosome LG04, whole genome shotgun sequence.